rnacentral:lncRNA from 1 species
CUUCUCUCUAUGUGUUUUCACAGAAACCCAGGCCCAGGGAGAACAUUUACCCCUCUUCCUACAUUUCAGAGCUGAAAAUGUCGGAAUUGUCAUGGUAAUGCCCAUAGUUGAUGUGACAGAUACUGAGAAGGAAAAACACGCUUGCCACAUGUGAAAACUGCCUGGUUGGUUCUGCUCUGAGUGCCUCUCUGGAGGGCACAUUGAUGGAUUUGACAAUCACUUAAUUCUACUAGAGCCUGACCUUCAGUCUGGAAGUCAGAUAUACGCAGCAGAGACGUAGAUGAUAGCCGCAGGCUGCUGCUGGUGGGAAGCUGACAGAGUCCACUUUAAAGGACUGCCUUCAGUACCAUCUACAUUCUUCUACCUGGGACUGUGUGUGGCCAUGCGGACAGGCUCUCACCUUCACUAAACAAUUCAACUGAUACAACGUAAGCUGUCCACCUACUGCUUCAGCAUCAUGCCUACUUGACUGCUGUCAUGUACCCCACCAGGAUAUCAUUGACUCUGUAAGCAAACCCCCAAUUAAAUGCUUUCUCUUAUAA